rnacentral:rRNA from 1 species
CCUACGGGUGGCAGCAGUGGGGAAUAUUGCACAAUGGGGGAAACCCUGAUGCAGCGAAGCCGCGUGAGGGAAGAAGGAAUUCGGUAUGUAAAGCUCUAUUAGCAGGGAAGAAAAUGACGGUACCUGAGUAAGAAGCCACGGCUAACUACGUGCCAGCAGCCGCGGUACUACGCAGGGGGCAAGCGUUAUCCGGAUUUACUGGGUGUAAAGGGAGCGUAGACGGCAGUGCAAGUCUGGAGUGAAAGGCGGGGGCUCAACCCCCGGACUGCUGUGGAAACUGUACGGCUGGAGUGCAGGAGAGGUAAGUGGAAUUCGUGGUGUAGCGGUGAAAUGCGUAGAUAUUAGGAGGAACACCAGUGGCGAAGGCGGCUUACUGGACUGUAACUGACGUUGAGGCUCGAAAGCGUGGGGAGCAAACAGGAUUAGAUACCCUAGUAGUC